ensembl:lncRNA
CGGGGAGAGCCUGUGUGUGUUUUUUGAGCAUCUGUGUGUGUGUGUGUGUCCGUGUGUGGGACAGUGAGGAAGGAUCUCUAUUAAUCUCUUGCAUUACCGCAGUUAUUUCCACUCUCUUCAUCACCAGCAGCAUGUGCUCUGUGAGAUUUAAAAUAUUUAAAUCUGUAAUCUGUCAGCAUUAUGAGGUUAACACACACGUCCGCACGACUGCGUUCCUAUCCGUCACCGAGCCUCGCGCCCCCCCCACCCCCCUGCAUGCAUCAAGGGGACCUGACGCGGCCUUUUGUGGCUCUGGCAGGAAAAUACUCAGCGACCGGUGUCGGUAAUUUCUCAACAGCCGUACGGACAUGCUGCCCGGUGCCUUUGAGAAAACUCAGGAAAAUGUGUGCAGCUGCGAGUGAAAAAAAAAAAAAAAAACGUGAAAAGAGAAAAAGAAAGCGGCGCGAGAGGAAGCCUCUGAAUGUCUCCCCAGUGUAUUUGACCCAGUGACUCUGGAGGAGUUCUUCCUUGUUCCUCUACUACGGUUUAAACUGGCAUUCAUUAUUGAUUUGGUGGCUCAGACUCUUACGCAGAAGGGUCUCACGAGUGAGCCCAAAUGUUUGCUUAGUUUUGGCGCAGUUGCAUUUAUGGCCCCGCUCACACGUUGUUGCACCUUUUCUCACAACACAGUGCCUCAUUGUCCUAAAACUCUGAAUUAAUAACCAAGAAUGAAUAAAUUGAAUGGGAUUAAAACGACGGUGACCCAUUUAUGAAUAUUAGCUUGAUGGAAGACACUCCAUCGUAGCCCAUUUAGCCAGCUCCAUGUCAUGUCUUCAUACGACAGGCUUUUACUAAGCUCCUUAAGAGCCUGCCCCUGGGGGAUCGGUGGUAGGCUGGAGGUACUGACUCACGCCUUAUCUUCACUCAUUUACCCCACGAAUUAGACGGCCCCUUCGCUCCCGUGUCCUGCCAGACCCACACAAUGCUCACGCCAAGAAAAUGAGGUGAGAAAAGGGCCUCAGCGAUGGUUUAGUUUGGAUAAAAAGCAGUGAAUCGCACACUGCCGCCACUCAACUUCACCUGCACAGCAACGUUCAUCCCCGGGAUUUGAACGCGUGUUGCUUCCCCCUUGUCACUUGUCUGUCUGUCCUCAAGGUGGAUUAGGCAGAGUGAAAUGCAAUUUGAAACAUUUGGAUUAAAGGGGACUUUUGGUAAACAAACAGGCAGAGCUUCACCCCCCCAAAAAACUUGCCUUAAAUUCUCUGUAAAGUUCAAAUGAGAUGGCGAGCUGCAGAUGUGUGACUUGCAGAGGACGGCAAAACGCAGGGCCCCAGAAGUGGACACAUGAAGUGGAGGGUGAGUCGUUUGUCGCAUCGUACCGCGUCGCUCAAAAGGCCAAUGCUAAUUAUUGCCUGGAAAUAAGUGUGACACUUUCCCAAAGUGCAAUCAAUCGGAGCGUCAACCAACCUGCAUGCAUGACUCCUGCACGCCAGUUAAAAAGGUCGUCCAUGUCUUUUGCAUGUUCGACAAUGAACCGAGCUUCAUCCCGAUCUAAGCUUAUGUAAUUCAGUGCGGCUUUGCAUCUGAGAGCCUCUCUCCCUAUCAUGGCAGCCUCCCACUCCCGCCUCUCCCUCGCCGUCUCUGUCUCUCUGUGAUGCAUUUUUAAAAAGUCCCCUUUAAAAAGGAAAACAAUUGAAAAUAGCUCCUCGCCGCUGCUGCGUGUUUGGUUUCGUCCCCUAUUUUCAACCCCAGCAGGCUUCAUCCGCUGCCUGUGAAUUAUUGAGUGUGAAUUUUAUGAUUAAUAAAUAAAUAAUAAAUAGAAAACUUCUGGCAGACAGUGAGUGAUGACAUACUGUGUGACAUCUGCUUUGUAGUUGGAGCGCCGAUGUCCAAAAGAAUCGUGUUUACUAAGCAGACAUUGGUCUUUGGCAGGGAAACCUGUUAGUCAGGGGAGAUGUUUUUGGGCCACGAACAAUGGAAAAUCUCUUUUAAAUAUGUUAUGUGCAGUAGACUUGAGGCAUAUCUUGGUGCCUCGGGCCAAAAACCGUUUUGUUAGUCAAACAAAGACUAUUUCAUUUUCUCACAGAUUUAACAAAUAUGUCUUAUUCAUUAUUAAAAUGAAUACGAGUGUGUCUUGUGAAAUGUUGCUUGUUUCCUGGGAUACACAAACAUUCACGGUGUAUUAUUAGUAAUUAUAUGACAAGAGGUGUGAUUUAAUUUCGCGAAUACAGUUCAUGAAAUAUGAAGAGACAAGUUUAUCCUCCAUCAUUAGUCACUGUGCAUCUGCGCCUGUAGUGAGAUUAUGAAAGAACUCAGUUGACACAUUGCAAUACACGCUUUGACGUCUUUCAAAUGAGCUUUUGUUGAGGCCAAUUUAAAACCUGCGGGACUUAAAUCAUUAACAUUUAAGUGGUAGCGUUAGAACCGAUUUCUCUCACGAAAGAAAUGUCUUCUACUGCACCAAGAGAAAAGGUCUGCUACGUAAGACGCCCUCUAAAUCUUUGAAAUGCAUUUAGUUUGCUUGGAAAUGUAUUGAAAUCUAAUAUCCAUUACAUCCAAAUUCUCCACCGUUGCCUUUUUUCACAUUGCAAAGUGGUGCAACCAGUCCAGAACAAUGACGGACUUGUCUUCAGGUGUUGGAGGGUGAGGGGACAUAGUUCCAGAAGGUCACAGCUGCUGCUCCUGCUGCCUCCAAGACAA